rnacentral:lncRNA from 12 species
UAAUGAUCCAAAGAUAAACUUGACAUUUGCCCAAUGGCCAGGACAAUUUAUGGAUGCAAGAGUUCAAGGAGAAGAGUAGAGUGGCUAGCUCCCCCAGAAAUUACACCUGUUAGACUGGGGCAGUAGGAAUUUGCCACAGAUAGGGAAAGUCAUCCCUCCUGUGCUUAAAACCUAGAAAAGCUGCCUAAGUGCUGGCCUCUGUGUGUGUGAUGAAUGGACUUAAAAAAUUCUUCUGGUUCUCUCUUCAUCUUUUCCUAACUCCCUAGUGGGAGUAGAAUUGUGGUAGGUUUUAGAUAACAGCCUCACAGCCUUAAUUUUAUUUAUCUGACAAGCUUGACUCUCUGGAGACACCAGCUGUUAGGUUAUGCAAAAUAGCAAAGAAUAUUAACGAUUCAGCCGAAGUUUCUGCUACACUCGUAACAGGUCUGCAACGCUGACUGUAACAAUGCUGUCCUCAGGACUUUGGGGCAAAAAAAACCUCCAAAAACACUCAUGCAAGCCCUGCACAAGAAGCUCCAAGAGAAUACUAAGCUGGAGACCGAAUCUCCCAGGCAAGUUUUCUCCACUGGCUUUGCAGGCCUCUCUGUGCUCCCAGACCAGUCAUGGGGCAGUGAGUCAGCUCAGAGCAGACACCUCUUGUGGUGGCUGUGGGCGAUAUGCUUCUUCCACUAUUUAUUAGACUUUCUACUCUUUCCUCUGGGGAUGGCAGGCCUAGAGCAGGAGAAGCAAUGGAAGACGAAAAAAAUUAAAAGCAAAUUCCUCAUUCUCACCAUUUUGAAGAUUUGAAGGGGACAAAACCUUGGGAGAUUUUAAAGGACUGGAAGGUGGCACCGCCAAAAGCAGGUAUUGACCUCAAUUCCCCUCCUAGUCUGGCAUUAGCAGUGUGACCUGAAGGCACGCUGAUAUCCCUCUCUGGGUGGCUGGUUCCUCACCUACAAAAUGAGGACGUGUGUGUAAAGGGAAAGGGGGCGAUGGCUGAGUAUAGGAGUCACGUGGGGAGUUUUUGCCCACCCCUCUGGGGUCUGCCCUUUGAAUCAGAAUCUCUGAGGGUUGAGGGGAAUGCUCUGUUAAACCAGC